rnacentral:rRNA from 1 species
UACGAAGGGUGCAAGCGUUAAUCGGAAUUACUGGGCGUAAAGCGUGCGUAGGUGGUUUGUUAAGUCUGCUGUGAAAGCCCUGGGCUCAACCUGGGAAUGGCGGUGGAUACUGCCAGGCUAGAGGGCGGUAGAGGAGGGUGGAAUUCCCGGUGUAGCGGUGAAAUGCGUAGAGAUCGGGAGGAACAUCAGUGGCGAAGGCGGCCCUCUGGACCAGCACUGACGCUGAGGCACGAAAGCGUGGGGAGCAAACAGG